rnacentral:rRNA from 1 species
CAAAGAGAGGCAAGACCGCGAGGUGGAGCAAAUCUCAAAAAGCCGUCCCAGUUCGGAUCGCAGGCUGCAACCCGCCUGCGUGAAGUUGGAAUCGCUAGUAAUCGCGGAUCAGCAUGCCGCGGUGAAUACGUUCCCGGGCCUUGUACACACCGCCCGUCACACCAUGAGAGUCGGGAACACCCGAAGUCCGUAGCCUAACCGCAAGGGGGGCGCGGCCGAAGGUGGGUUCGAUAAUUGGGGUGAAGUCGUAACAAGGUACC